rnacentral:lncRNA from 1 species
UUGUGAAGGCGCACCGGUGGAACUUAAUUCAGGUGUUUGAGGUGGACGUGGUCGGCCGGGAAGAGACUUGUGAAGGCGCACCGGUGGAACCUAAUUCAGGUGAUUGAGGUGGAUGUGGCCGGCUGAGAUUGGACUUGUGAAGGCGCACCGGUGGAAACAAAUUCAGGUGUUUCAGGUUGAUGUGGCUGGCCGAGAAGAGACUUGUGAAGGCGCACAUGUGGAUCCUAAUUCACGUGUUUGAUGUGGAUGUGGCCGACCGGGAAGAGACUCGUGAAGGCGCACCGGUGGAACCUAAUUCAGGUGUUUGAGGUGGAUG